CCUACGGGAGGCAGCAGUGAGGAAUAUUGGUCAAUGGACGGGAGCCUGAACCAGCCAAGCCGCGUGAGGGAAGAAGGUACAGCGUAUCGUAAACCUCUUUUGUCAGGGAACAAAGACGGGGACUAGUCCCCGGAUGAGGGUACCUGAAGAAAAAGAAUCGGCUAACUCCGUGCCAGCAGCCGCGGUAAUACGGAGGAUGCGAGCGUUGUCCGGAUUUUUUGGGUUUAAAGGGUGCGCAGGCGGCCUGUUACGUCAGCGGUAAAAACCCGGGGCGCAAC
rnacentral:rRNA from 1 species